rnacentral:rRNA from 1 species
AAUCAACGCUGGCGGCGUGCCUAACACAUGCAAGUCGCACGAGAAAGGGGAGCAAUCCCUGAGUAAAGUGGCGCACGGGUGAGUAACACGUGAAUCAUCUACCUCCGAGUGGGGAAUAACUGAGAGAAAUCUUAGCUAAUACCGCAUAACACUUACGAGUCAAAGCAGCAAUGCGCUUGGAGAGGAGUUCGCGGCCGAUUAGUUAGUUGGCGGGGUAAUGGCCCACCAAGACGAUGAUCGGUAUCCGGCCUGAGAGGGCGCACGGACACACUGGAACUGAAACACGGUCCAGACUCCUACGGGAGGCAGCAGUGGGGAAUUUUGCGCAAUGGGGGAAACCCUGACGCAGCAACGCCGCGUGGAGGAUGAAGUAUCUUGGUACGUAAACUCCUUUCGAUUGGGAAGAUAAUGACGGUACCAAUAGAAGAAGCCCCGGCUAAC